rnacentral:lncRNA from 1 species
AAAGAUUACUAAUCAUUUUAUUAUUUCACUUCUAUAUAAAAAUUUUUAUAAGUGUUAUAGUCAAGCCACGGAUGCAUGAUGCUAUCAAUAGGCACCAAUUUGAGCCCCUUUGAGGCUUUUUCCCUUUUCAUAAAAUGUGAAAUAAGGGUAUAUUUAUUAUCAAAUGUUGUUAAGCAAAUUUUGAAAAGUAGAGAGAGUGGGUAACUUUUCAAAAUUUACUUUGAGAAUUAGUUUUAUUUUAAUACAAUUCCACAUUUAUCCUUGUUGACUAUUGGAGAAUGCAUAUUUGUACAAGGUAAAAUUGUCAUUUUAUGCUCCAAGUCUCACUAACAUUUUCACAUUCACGUGUUAAAAUCUUCUAAGCUUUUAUUAGGUAUGUUUUUUUUAUAAUUUAUAGAUUUUAUGUAUUUCAUGGGUAUUUUGACCAUUUUACGACUAAUUAGAAGUCAAAUAGUGAAACAAAUGGCAUUUUUUAACUCAGGACAGUCGAAAACUUUAAGAGGAGCAUAAAAGGGAAUUUGGUACUGUUCACAAAUAUGGCACUGUUCACAUAUAUAGUACGAUAAUGUGGUAUUGACCAAUGACGUGGUAGCAUCCUCUUGGACUAAUGAUGUGGCAUUGACUAAUUAUAUGGCGUUAACUAAUGAUGUGGCAUUAGCCGAUGACGUGGCAGCAUCUUAUUAGACCGAAAUGCUGAAGUGGUGUUGAUUGAUGAUGUGUUCCAACCAAUCGAAACUUGCCACAUGGCGCAAUCCUGAGCGUCCAAAUUAUUUUCAUCCAAUGACCAUAAUUUAUUUAUUGUAUCUAUAAAUAGAGGACUCCCUCCCCCUUAAUUUGAGACCCCUGAAUCCAUUUUAGAGGUCUUUUUUGUAAUUCUCACUCCAUCUUGUAUUUUUUACUUAUUUUAGUAAAAUUAUCAUUUUACCCCUAAUUCAAUUAUGAGUGGCUAGCUUAGGUUGAAAGUGAAGCCUCACAUGAUCCAUGGACUUAAUUAGGUAAGUUUAUUUUCUUAUCCUCUCUGAUUUGUGUGCAUGUUUUGAACUCAUUAUUGACAGACAAGUGGUAUCAUGUCUAGAUUUUGCACAGUAUACCGGCUCCCUAGUGAAGGAUCAUUAUUGUCUGGCACAUUGAGUACUUAGUACCAUAUUAAUUCGAGAGAAAAUUCACCUUCAGUAUUUUGUGGGUCGUCUUGAUUCAAUGUCGAUAGAGAAUAUAUCUAAGCUAUUUAGUUGAUAGUCUCACCACCUUAUCAACAAAAGGAUUAUUAUCGUAUGGCACAUCGUAUUCUUGACACCACACUUAGUAGAAGAUCAUUAUCUCUGGUAUACUGAGCGCUUGAUACCAUAUUUAUUAAAGUGAGGAUUAUGACGAGUGAACAUAUCUCUCUUAUGAAUUAAUCGAAACUGAAAAAGAAAUAUUAAGCUCAUGAUGAAUGUUGAGUGUGAAUCCAAAAACUCAAGCAUUUCAUUUGCAUUGUUUUUAUCUUUAAUUCAUUCCCACUAUUUUAUUUUAAAUCUUAAGAAAAAAAACAAACUCACUUCCAACCAACUCACAUUUACACCUAAAAAAUUAACCCUACUCAUAAUUAAAUCUACUUCCUCGUGGGAUCGACACUCGUCACCACAAAAUCUAUUUUACAAUAGAUUAGUGCGCUUGCGAAUACAAUAAAAUUUGUACAACAAUCCUUACAUAUUUUAUAUAACCCAAAUUUAUAUUUAGUUUGAUGUAUUUAUCUUUAUGCAUGCUCUUUAACCCAAGUCUUCGUCUUCUUAUUUUAUGUUCCAUCAAAACUCCUCUAACACUACAAAUACCACCACUGCAAGAUCACCAGUUAGGUUAAUAUUUGUUUCAUUUUUUUGUUCUUUGAUUUAUAAAUAUUCAAAAAAAAUUAUGAUGAACCUUAUCAAUAUACUUUUUCAUGAUUUUCAAAGGAUCGUCUCAUUAAACUAUAAUUAUACAAAAUUGAUGUUAUUUAAUGGUAGAAGUUGUUUUAUUAUUAUUA